rnacentral:rRNA from 1 species
UACGUAGGUGGCAAGCGUUGUCCGGAUUUACUGGGCGUAAAGGAUGCGUAGGCGGACAUUUAAGUCAGAUGUGAAAUACCCGAGCUUAACUUGGGUGCUGCAUUUGAAACUGGGUGUCUAGAGUGCAGGAGAGGUAAGUGGAAUUCCUAGUGUAGCGGUGAAAUGCGUAGAGAUUAGGAAGAACACCAGGUGGCGAAGGCGACUUACUGGACUGUAAACUGACGCUGAGGCAUGAAAGCGUGGGGAGCAAACAGG